UACGGAGGGUGCAAGCGUUAUCCGGAUUCACUGGGUUUAAAGGGUGCGUAGGAGGGCAGGUAAGUCAGUGGUGAAAUCUCCGUGCUUAACAUGGAAACUGCCAUUGAUACUAUGUUUCUUGAAUCUUCCGGAGGUUAGCGGAAUAUGUCAUGUAGCGGUGAAAUGCUUAGAUAUGACAUAGAACACCAAUUGCGAAGGCAGCUAACUACAGGGAUAUUGACACUGAGGCACGAAAGCGUGGGGAUCAAACAGG
rnacentral:rRNA from 1 species